AUGCAGCCAUGCCGCGUGUGUGAAGAAGGACCUUCGGGUUGUAAAGCACUUUCAGUAGGGAGGAAGGUAGUGUAGUUAACACCUGCAUUAUUUGACGUUACCUACAGAAGAAGCACCGGCUAACUCCGUGCCAGCAGCCGCGGUAAUACGGAGGGUGCGAGCGUUAAUCGGAAUUACUGGGCGUAAAGCGCAUGCAGGCGGCCUGUUAAGUCAGAUGUGAAAGCCCGGGGCUUAACCUCGGAAUUGCAUUUGAAACUGGCAGGCUAGAGUCUUGUAGAGGGGGGUAGGAAUUUCAGGUGUAGCGGUGAAAUGCGUAGAGAUCUGAAGGAAUACCAGUGGCGAAGGCGGCCCCCUGGACAAAGACUGACGCUCAGAUGCGAAAGCGUGGGGAGCAAACAGGAUUAGAUACCCUGGUAG
rnacentral:rRNA from 1 species